rnacentral:rRNA from 1 species
ACGGAAGGCAGCAGUGGGGAAUAUUGGGCAAUGGGCGCAAGCCUGACCCAGCAAUGCCGCGUGAAGGAAGAAGGCUUUCGGGUUGUAAACUUCUUUUGUCAGGGAAGAGUAGAAGACGGUACCUGACGAAUAAGCCACGGCUAACUACGUGCCAGCAGCCGCGGUAAUACGUAGGUGGCAAGCGUUGUCCGGAUUUACUGGGUGUAAAGGGCGUGUAGCCGGGUCGGUAAGUCAGAUGUGAAAUCCACGGGCUCAACUCGUGAACUGCAUUUGAAUCUGCUGAUCUUGAGUAUCGGAGAGGCAAUCGGAAUUCCUAGUGUAGCGGUGAAAUGCGUAGAUAUUAGGAGAAACACCAGUGGCGAAGGCGGAUUGCUGGACGACAACUGACGGUGAGGCGCGAAAGCGUGGGGAGC